rnacentral:lncRNA from 1 species
CCGAUCUCCGCACAGUUUUCCUAAGUGCUCUCGCCUACUUUUUUGACUGUGAUAAUUACCACUACCCUAGAAAACACCUUCCUCUAUUUCAGGGACAACUUGAGUCCUAAAGCCAAUAUACAGUAGAGGGGACUGAAGUCCUCCGCACUUGUCCUGCAGACUGUGCUCAUUCCGCUGAGCCCCGAGCUGUCUGAGGGAGAGGAGCUGCAUGCGGCCAUUUCCAUUCUCUCCCUUCCGCUUCUCUAGUGGAUAAUUCCUGCUGGCCAUUUAACACUCAAGCCGGAGUGCUGGGAAAGGAAGAGCACGGUCCCUUUAAAUGAUACGGAAGCCGGGAAGGAAAGCGCGGGGUAGAAAGGGCAGAGUCCGUGACUAGGCCUCUAGCCCCAGGGACCUAGGCGAGGACAGGCACUCCUGCUUUUCCAAGAGCACCCUGGCCCGCCACGCCCCCAGCCUGGGCCUAUAAACACCCACGACCCUAGCAAGGCAGAGACAGAAGCUGCUGGAGGGCGAGAGGAACGCAUCAGUGGAAGAAGACAGAAGCGGCUGGUCACGGAGAGCAUGUCAGCAGAAGAACACACCUACAGACGCCGGCUCGCCCGCGGGCUCCCCGGCAGGCCAUCGACCGGUGGGACGAGGUGGAGUUUGUCCUGGGCAGUAGGAGGACAGCCCGGGCACCCAGCGGCCCAACUCCAGGGGAAAGCCAUCUCCCUUCUGGAGCUGCCCAACUCCGGGGGAAAACCAUCUCCUUUCUGACUCUCCUGUCGGUGGAGAGUUACUUCCACUCAAUACGAUUUUGCAGUCAUUCUCCAAGCCCACGUGUGAUCCGAUUCUUCCGGUACACCAAGGCAAGAACCCGGGAUACAGAAAGCCCUCUGGCCUUAUGACAAGGUAGAGGGUCUAACUGAGCUAUAGACCGUGAACUAAGAGCGCACCCUGGAACACACGCCCUCUGGGGCUUCAGCUGUAAACAUCCACCCUUAGACACUGCCAUGGGGUUGGAGCCCCACAACCUGCCCAUCUCUAUGCCCCACUAGAGGUAUGACCAACGGGGCACUGAAGAGGCGAGCACACCCCAUCGCACGCCCUGCAAGGGGGACGGGGGAACCUUUCCCAUUUCAACACCACCGCUGUGGCUGCAUGUGGCUGCCAUAAGAAAAAGAACCCAUUCUUUGGCACAGCUGAAGCAGGACUCUUCUCGUUGUUCUCCAGGCUAAAGUGCAAUGGCGCAAUCUCAGUUUACUGUGACCUCCCUCUCCCAGGCUCAAGCGGUU